UGUCGAUCUAAAUUUUGCCACAGUGCCAAAUGUAAGUGUGUCUCUGAGUACAUCUGUGUGUGUGUGUCAUGAGUAGAUCUAGGUUUGCUCCGGAGGGGUUGACGCGGCGUCCUGAUGGAAUCCUGAUGGCGUCCCGAUGACGUGGCGUCCUGAUGGCGUCCCGAUGACGUGGCGUCCUGAUGGCGUCCCGAAGACGUGGCGUCCUGAUGGCGUCCUGUUGGUCUGCAGACAAGGAGAAGAGACGUGAGGAGGAUCAUCAGGGUGUGCCUGUGUGUACAUCUAAUUGUUAGUGGGUCUGUGUGUAGAUCUAAUUGUUAGUGUGUCCAUCUAAUUGUUAGUGUGUCUGUGUGUAGAUCUAAUUGUUAGUGUGUCUGUGUACAUCUAAUUGUUAGUGUGUCUGUGUGUACCUCUAAUUGUUAGUGUGUCUGUGUGUACAUCUAAUUUAUAGUGUGUCUGUGUGUACAUCUAAUUGUAAGUGUGUCUGUGUACAUCUAAUUGUUAGUUUGUCUGUGUGUACAUCUAAAUAUUAGUGUGUGUCUUUGUUUAGAACCAAAUGAUAGUGUGUCUGUGUGUAGAUCUAGAUAUUAAUGUGUCUGUGUGUAGAUCUAAUUGUUAAUGUGUCUGUGUGUACAUCUAAAUGUUAGUGUGUCUGUGUGUACAUCUAAAUAUUAGUGUGUGUAUUUGUUUAGAACCAAAUGAUAGUGUGUCUGUGUGUAGAUCUAAUUGUUAAUGUGUCUGUGUGUAGAUCUAAUUGUUAGUGUGUCCGUGUGUACAUCUAAUUGUUAGUGUGUCUGUGUGGAUCUAAUUGUUAGUGUGUCUGUGUGUAGAUCUAAAUAUGAAUGUGUCUUUGUGUACAUCUAAAUGUUAGUGUGUGUCUUUGUUUAGAACCAAAUGUUAGUGUGUGUGUGAGUCGCGACAUCCCUCGCAGUGUGUGGGUGUGUGUGUGUGUCAUGAGUAG
ensembl:lncRNA